GCAGUCGAACGGUGAAGCCCCGCUUGCGGGGUGGAUCAGUGGCGAACGGGUGAGUAACACGUGAGCAACCUGCCCCUGACUCUGGGAUAAGCGCUGGAAACGGCGUCUAAUACUGGAUACGAGACGUGAUCGCAUGGUCAACGUUUGGAAAGAUUUUUCGGUUGGGGAUGGGCUCGCGGCCUAUCAGCUUGUUGGUGAGGUAAUGGCUCACCAAGGCGUCGACGGGUAGCCGGCCUGAGAGGGUGACCGGCCACACUGGGACUGAGACACGGCCCAGACUCCUACGGGAGGCAGCAGUGGGGAAUAUUGCACAAUGGGCGCAAGCCUGAUGCAGCAACGCCGCGUGAGGGAUGACGGCCUUCGGGUUGUAAACCUCUUUUAGCAGGGAAGAAGCGAGAGUGACGGUACCUGCAGAAAAAGCACCGGCUAACUACGUGCCAGCAGCCGCGGUAAUACGUAGGGUGCAAGCGUUAUCCGGAAUUAUUGGGCGUAAAGAGCUCGUAGGCGGUUUGUCGCGUCUGCUGUGAAAUCUGGGGGCUCAACCCCCAGCCUGCAGUGGGUACGGGCAGACUAGAGUGCGGUAGGGGAGAUUGGAAUUCCUGGUGUAGCGGUGGAAUGCGCAGAUAUCAGGAGGAACACCGAUGGCGAAGGCAGAUCUCUGGGCCGUAACUGACGCUGAGGAGCGAAAGGGUGGGGAGCAAACAGGCUUAGAUACCCUGGUAGUCCACCCCGUAAACGUUGGGAACUAGUUGUGGGGUCCAUUCCACGGAUUCCGUGACGCAGCUAACGCAUUAAGUUCCCCGCCUGGGGAGUACGGCCGCAAGG
rnacentral:rRNA from 1 species